rnacentral:rRNA from 1 species
CCUACGGGAGGCAGCAGUGGGGAAUAUUGCACAAUGGGGGAAACCCUGAUGCAGCGACGCCGCGUGAAGGAAGAAGUAUUUCGGUAUGUAAACUUCUAUCAGCAGGGAAGAAAAUGACGGUACCUGACUAAGAAGCCCCGGCUAACUACGUGCCAGCAGCCGCGGUAAUACGUAGGGGGCAAGCGUUAUCCGGAUUUACUGGGUGUAAAGGGAGCGUAGACGGCAUGGCAAGUCUGGUGUGAAAGGCAGGGGCUCAACCCCUGGACUGCAUUGGAAACUGUCAGGCUGGAGUGCAGGAGAGGUAAGUGGAAUUCCUAGUGUAGCGGUGAAAUGCGUAGAUAUUAGGAGGAACACCAGUGGCGAAGGCGACUUACUGGACUGUAACUGACGUUGAGGCUCGAAAGCGUGGGGAGCAAACAGGAUUAGAUACCCUUGUAGUC